UAACUUGUAGGAAGACUCCUGCCUCAGUA
rnacentral:piRNA from 1 species